GCGCUUUAUAAAACGAGCGCCGGGAUUGAGACCCCGAAGAACUCAAUGGCGACACAGACGCCGAAAGCGUCUUUUUU
rnacentral:sRNA from 1 species